rnacentral:lncRNA from 10 species
UGCUCACAUUCCUAGCACCAGUGUUAUGAAAGAGGGGUCCCAAUCCAGACCCCGAAAGAGGGUUCUUAGAUCUUGCACAAGAAGGAAUUCCAGGUGAGUCCACAGAGUAAAGUGAAAGCAAGUUUAUUAAGAAAGUAAAGGAAUGAAAGAAUGGUUGCUCCAUGGACUGAGCAGGGCAUUUCUGAAAGCAAGAGGAGUAAGGCGCCCACCUUAUUAGGUGCAAUGCAUGUUUAUAUAUGAGAUAACAAGGCAAAAAAUCAUGAAAAGGAUGUGGUCUAUUACAAGGGCUCAUGACAAAGGAUUGUUAAUCCUUGUGUAACUACUGACUUUUGCAAGAAUCUAUAUUACUAUCUUUAAAGCAAAAUUUAUUACUAAACAAAGAAUGCUUUUGUGCUUAAGAUAGCAGGACAUCAAGACAUUUCUUGGGUCUGUUAAGUCCUGGGUCUGUUUGGUAAACAUUAUUAACCUGUUCCCUUAACUGUAAACACCCUGUGACUGCGAAUCCCUAACCUCCUGGGAAUGCAGCCCAGCAGGUCUCAGUCUCAUUUUACCCAGCACCUAUUCAACAUGGUUCCAAAGCUUCUGACAGUAAGACACCCCUGGAUUUUCUUUUUUCUUUUUUUUUAAACUUUAUGCUUUGUGGCAUUAAUAAAACCGUCCUCAGGUAACGCUCUAUCCCCAGUCCCAACCAUUAUUACAAAUCUUCCCACAACUGAGCAACACUCCCCCACAUCCCAUUAAAAACCUGCAUUCUCUACCUAUUGUAUUCCAGAGCUACAAUUUCUAGAAGCUUCUUAAACAUGCAAUAACAACAAACACAAUUCCUUCUAAGGGAAAAGAAGGUCCAACCCCAUCGCAAAAUUCCCCAAGAAACAGGAAAGCGUUAAUUCCACCUUAAAUCCCAAGCAGUCAAUAACCCAGUGCCCAUAAUGGGCUCUGCAGAUCACCCCACCCCACCAUCUGCCCCAAUUUCCAAAAUCUGCUCAGCAACCAAAGCCAUUAAAUCCAGAAACUAAUUUGUAAGGAAAACAAUGAAAAGAGUAAUAAUCUCUCCGUAGGAUGCCAAUGGAAGGUCCCACAGGGACUGGUGCACUGUAGAGAAAGGAGAAGGGUACCUGGAAAGAAAUGCCUAUUAACAUUCAAAGCCCCCUAGUGGAAUGGAAGCUGACCUGCUGCAGAAUGAAAAUGUCCCAGCCCACAGGAGCCUGCACUCAGGUUCGCUUUAUUUAUCCUGCAAACAGGAGUUGCUAAUAGCAAACAAUCUUGGGCCUGCUCCCCACAGCUCAGGGGUAGCUCGCAGCGCUGUCCCCAAGACACGUGCCUGGGUUGCUUUGGAGCAAUGCUAUUUGCAAAAGGAGAAAAAGAAAAAUGAAGCAGGGAUGUGGAAGUGGGAGAAAGAGCCAGAAAGGCUGAAGAGUAAGCUGGCAGAGAGGGCAGUCUGGUGGUCUUUGCACAGUUGCUGCAGCGGGGGCCAACCUUGCCGAAGGGAAAUACUGAUGUGAUCUUCUGUUCUUCAUGGAUGGGGGCCAGAUACUCAGAAAUGGGGAGAGAUUCACCUUGAGUCAUCCAGUGAGUCACAGACAGGAGGCAGAAAUAGAUCUUAUGACCCACUGUUCACUGUCAAAGACAUCUUUUAGCAUCUGUAACCAGGAUUCCUGAGUGGGGAUGGAUUCGGGUGCUCCUUGCAUUCAGAUUGGUUCAUUUGAUGAGAUGUCUGUUCUCUUCCAUUCCAAAGGCAAGUGAUUUAAAGUCAAGACAGACCAGGAUCUUCAAACAAACUUUCCUGGCCAAGGCUACCUCUCUACUCACAUUAAGUGAGGAAUGUAAGAUCUGGGGAGUUAAGAUCAUGCCCACAGUCAUCUAGAGGGUAUCUCUGUGAAGCAAGACAAGGUCAUCCUCCACAUCCUCCGCAUGAAUUGACCUCCCCCAAACUUGGGGCCUAACUGUCCAGCUGAGCUCAUAUAUCUUGGUCUGGAGAGCUGCCUCAGACUCUCCAAUGGAUCUAUUCAAACAGCUGCCUCUGUUACCUUGACUCGUCUCAGAUUUCGUCGAACUGAGACAGGUCCUGGCACUAGGAAUGGGAUCAUCUUCAUGCUGAGUCUUGGACACCAACCUGAAUUCUCCUACAGAGAAACUGGACAUCUGCUCUUGAUGGGGUGUAGUGGAUAAGGCAUAGCACCUGUGAUCAGGAGAUCUAGAUCUGAGUCUCAGUUGUGACACUUUUUUCUGUGUUACCUUGGGAAAGUUAUUUACCCUCUCUGAGCCUCAAUUUCCUCACUAAAAGGGGAUCAUGGUACCAACAUGUGUUAAAAGAGUAUUAAAUGAGAUAAUAAGUACUUUGUAAACAAUGUGUUUGUAAUUAAUCAUGAAUCUUAGUUUGAUUAUAUGAUUAUAAUUAUGUUUUUUUCCAGUAAUGGAAAGAGGGCAGGGAUAAAAGGCAGUGAGUGGCCUGAGCUUCUAAAAAUUCUCAUGAGAAGGAUUCAUAGAGGGUUCACCUGGUUCCUUCUAGGAGUUUACUCACAGCCUUAUAAUUUUCAUUAUUUAGAAAAACAAUCACAGAUGUCAUGUAUCACAACUUGCAGAGAACACACCUGCCCCUGAGACAGAGCAAUCAUGAUGAUGGUGGGCAGAUGGGGUCAAUUCUGGGGAACUGGGAUUCCUUGUGGGAAUGGAGGCCAUUUCCCCAUGGGUGACUCACAAUGGCUGAAGAAGGGAGAGGCAAGUAUCUAUUAUACACAAUUAGCAAUCACCCCACAACCCUGGCUCAUGUGAACCCCACCAC